ACGAACGCUGGCGGCGCGCCUAACACAUGCAAGUCGAACGAGCGAGAGAGAGCUUGCUUUCUCGAGCGAGUGGCGAACGGGUGAGUAACGCGUGAGGAACCUGCCUCAAAGAGGGGAACAACAGUUGGAAACGACUGCUAAUACCGCAUAAGCCCACAGGUCGGCAUCGACCAGAGGGAAAAGGAGCAAUCCGCUUUGAGAUGGCCUCGCGUCCGAUUAGCUAGUUGGUGAGGUAAUGGCCCACCAAGGCAACGAUCGGUAGCCGGACUGAGAGGUUGAACGGCCACAUUGGGACUGAGACACGGCCCAGACUCCUACGGGAGGCAGCAGUGGGGAAUAUUGCACAAUGGGGGAAACCCUGAUGCAGCGACGCCGCGUGGAGGAAGAAGGUCUUCGGAUUGUAAACUCCUGUUGUUGAGGAAGAUAAUGACGGUACUCAACAAGGAAGUGACGGCUAACUACGUGCCAGCAGCCGCGGUAAAACGUAGGUCACAAGCGUUGUCCGGAAUUACUGGGUGUAAAGGGAGCGCAGGCGGGAAGACAAGUUGGAAGUGAAAUCUAUGGGCUCAACCCAUAAACUGCUUUCAAAACUGUUUUUCUUGAGUAGUGCAGAGGUAGGCGGAAUUCCCGGUGUAGCGGUGGAAUGCGUAGAUAUCGGGAGGAACACCAGUGGCGAAGGCGGCCUACUGGGCACCAACUGACGCUGAGGCUCGAAAGUGUGGGUAGCAAACAGGAUUAGAUACCCUGGUAGUCCACACCGUAAACGAUGAUUACUAGGUGUUGGAGGAUUGACCCCUUCAGUGCCGCAGUUAACACAAUAAGUAAUCCACCUGGGGAGUACGACCGCAAGGUUGAAACUCAAAGGAAUUGACGGGGGCCCGCACAAGCAGUGGAGUAUGUGGUUUAAUUCGAAGCAACGCGAAGAACCUUACCAAGUCUUGACAUCCUGCGACGCACAUAGAAAUAUGUGUUUCCUUCGGGACGCAGAGACAGGUGGUGCAUGGUUGUCGUCAGCUCGUGUCGUGAGAUGUUGGGUUAAGUCCCGCAACGAGCGCAACCCCUGUCCUUAGUUGCCAGCAUGUAGAGAUGGGAACUCUAAGGAGACUGCCGUAGAUAAUACGGAGGAAGGUGGGGAUGACGUCAAAUCAUCAUGCCCUUUAUGACUUGGGCUACACACGUACUACAAUGGCGUUAAACAAAGAGAAGCAAGACCGCGAGGUGGAGCAAAACUCAGAAACAACGUCCCAGUUCGGACUGCAGGCUGCAACUCGCCUGCACGAAGUCGGAAUUGCUAGUAAUCGUGGAUCAGCAUGCCACGGUGAAUACGUUCCCGGGCCUUGUACACACCGCCCGUCACACCAUGAGAGUUGGGGAUACCCGAAGCCUGUGAGCCAACAGUUAAAUGAGGCAGCAGUCGAAGGUAGAAUCAAUGAUUGGGGUG
rnacentral:rRNA from 1 species